rnacentral:rRNA from 1 species
GAUGAGCGCUGGCGGCGUGCCUAAUACAUGCAAGUCGAGCGAACAGACGAGGAGCUUGCUCCUCUGACGUUAGCGGCGGACGGGUGAGUAACACGUGGAUAACCUACCUAUAAGACUGGGAUAACUUCGGGAAACCGGAGCUAAUACCGGAUAAUAUAUUGAACCGCAUGGUUCAAAAGUGAAAGACGGUUUUGCUGUCACUUAUAUAUGGAUCCGCGCCGCAUUAGCUAGUUGGUAAGGUAACGGCUUACCAAGGCAACGAUGCGUAGCCGACCUGAGAGGGUGAUCGGCCACACUGGAACGGAGACACGGUCCAGACUCCUACGGGAGGCAGCAGUAGGGAAUCUUCCGCAAUGGGCGAAAGCCUGACGGAGCAACGCCGCGUGAGUGAUGAAGGUCUUCGGAUCGUAAAACUCUGUUAUUAGGGAAGAACAAAUGUGUAAGUAACUAUGCACGUCUUGACGGUACCUAAUCAGAAAGCCACGGCUAACUACGUG